rnacentral:rRNA from 1 species
UUUUCGAAUCAUUCACAAUGGGCGAAAGCCUGAUGGUGCGACGCCGCGUGAGGGAUGAAGGUCUUCGGAUUGUAAACCUCUGUCACCAGGGAAGAAACGUUUGAAGUUAACAGCUUUAAACCUGACUUAACCUGGAGAGGAAGCAGUGGCUAACUCUGUGCCAGCAGCCGCGGUAAUACAGAGACUGCAAGCGUUAUUCGGAUUCACUGGGCGUAAAGGGUGCGCAGGCGGCCGUGUGUGUUAGGUGUGAAAGCCCGAGGCUCAACCUCGGAAUUGCGCCUAAAACCUAUACGGCUAGAGCAUUGGAGAGGGUAGCGGAAUUCAUGGUGUAGCAGUGAAAUGCGUAGAUAUCAUGAGGAACACCAGAGGCGAAGGCGGCUACCUGGACAAUUGCUGACGCUC